UGGGGAAUAUUGCACAAUGGGCGCAAGCCUGAUGCAGCCAUGCCGCGUGUGUGAAGAAGGCCUUCGGGUUGUAAAGCACUUUCAGCGGGGAGGAAGGCGUUAAGGUUAAUAACCUUGGCGAUCGACGUUACCCGCAGAAGAAGCACCGGCUAACUCCGUGCCAGCAGCCGCGGUAAUACGGAGGGUGCAAGCGUUAAUCGGAAUUACUGGGCGUAAAGCGCACGCAGGCGGUUGAUUGAGUCAGAUGUGAAAUCCCCGGGCUUAACCCGGGAAUUGCAUCUGAUACUGGUCAGCUAGAGUCGUGUAGAGGGGGGUAGAAUUCCAUGUGUAGCGGUGAAAUGCGUAGAGAUGUGGAGGAAUACCGGUGGCGAAGGCGGCCCCCUGGACAAAGACUGACGCUCAGGUGCGAAAGCGUGGGGAGCAAACAGG
rnacentral:rRNA from 1 species